AGGAGUUUGAUCAUGGCUCAGGAUGAACGCUGGCGGCGUGCCUAAUACAUGCAAGUCGAGCGAACUGAUUAGAAGCUUGCUUCUAUGACGUUAGCGGCGGACGGGUGAGUAACACGUGGGCAACCUGCCUGUAAGACUGGGAUAACUUCGGGAAACCGAAGCUAAUACCGGAUAGGAUUUUCUCCUUCAUGGGAGAUGAUUGAAAGAUGGUUUCGGCUAUCACUUACAGAUGGGCCCGCGGUGCAUUAGCUAGUUGGUGAGGUAACGGCUCACCAAGGCAACGAUGCAUAGCCGACCUGAGAGAGUGAUCGGCCACACUGGGACUGAGACACGGCCCAGACUCCUACGGGAGGCAGCAGUAGGGAAUCUUCCGCAAUGGACGAAAGUCUGACGGAGCAACGCCGCGUGAGUGAUGAAGGCUUUCGGGUCGUAAAACUCUGUUGUUAGGGAAGAACAAGUACGAGAGUAACUGCUCGUACCUUGACGGUACCUAACCAGAAAGCCACGGCUAACUACGUGCCAGCAGCCGCGGUAAUACGUAGGUGGCAAGCGUUAUCCGGAAUUAUUGGGCGUAAAGCGCGCGCAGGCGGUUUCUUAAGUCUGAUGUGAAACCCACGG
rnacentral:rRNA from 1 species